AUCGAACGCUGGCGGCAUGCCUAACACAUGCAAGUCGAGCGAGCGGCGGACGGGUGUGUAAUGUCUGGGAAACCGCCUGUUGGAUGGGGAUAACUACUGGAAACGGUAGCUAAUACCGCAUUCCAUCAGAUUUGCCCAGAGGGGAUUAGCUAGUCGGUGGGGUAACGGCCUACCUGGGCGACGAUCCCUAGCUGGGCUGAGAGGAUGACCAGCCACACUGGGAAUGAGACACGGUCCAGACGCCUACGGGAGGCAGCAGUGGGGAAUAUUGCACAAUGGGCGCAAGCCUGAUGCAGCCAUGCCGCGUGUGUGAAGAAGGUCUUCGGAUUGUAAAGCUCUUUAAGUUGGGAGGCGUUACCAACAGAAUAAGCACCGGCUAACUUCGUGCCAGCAGCCGCGGUAAUAC
rnacentral:rRNA from 1 species